rnacentral:rRNA from 1 species
CCUACGGGUGACAGCAGUGAGGAAUAUUGGUCAAUGGGCGCGAGCCUGAACCAGCCAAGUCGCGUGAGGGAAGACGGUCCUAUGGAUUGUAAACCUCUUUUGUCGGGGAGCAAAAGACGCCACGCGUGGCGUUCCGAGAGUACCCGAAGAAAAAGCAUCGGCUAACUCCGUGCCAGCAGCCGCGGUAAUACGGAGGAUGCGAGCGUUAUCCGGAUUUAUUGGGUUUAAAGGGUGCGCAGGCGGAAGAUCAAGUCAGCGGUAAAAUUGAGAGGCUCAACCUCUUCGAGCCGUUGAAACUGGUGUUCUUGAGUGAGUGAGAAGUAGGCGGAAUGCGUGGUGUAGCGGUGAAAUGCAUAGAUAUCACGCAGAACUCCGAUUGCGAAGGCAGCAUACCGGCGCUCAACUGACGCUCAGGCACGAAAGUGUGGGUAUCGAACAGGAUUAGAUACCCGGGUAGUC